rnacentral:lncRNA from 1 species
GAGUAAAUGCUUUCAAUAGUAUUCAAUUAUUAUGAAGGAUUACAACUGAGUGAUUACAAAAGAGGGGGAAUACCCCUAUUUAUAGUUGAGCUCCCCCAAAACCAACAGUAUAGAUUGAGUUACAUCGACAGUCAAGAUUAGAGCCUAUCUACAAUUGAGAUUCUUAAGGAAUUGACUCAAUCUUUUAAGAUUACAAAAUCAAAUCUUACCAGAUUACUUAUCUUCUAAUAUUAGUUUCCCUAUUUACCAUGGUAGCCCUAAAUUUCCUUAAAUACUUCACUUGACCACUAAGGCUUUAAGUAGAUGGGUUUCUUUACAUGUUCCAAGAAUCGGGUCAGUUCAAGUGGGUCAAAUGAGCCUUAUUUAAUCAAUUUACCUCGAUGAGAUGCUCUGUGCGCAUUCGUCACAUGCUUUGAUCCGCGACCCGUGACACAUGACCCACAUUCAUUGACACAAAGAGACCCACCUAGAAAUUUACCAACCUGAUAACAAUUAAUAAAAAUAUAAUAAGAAAUGAAUAUAAUUUAUCAUUUAAUCACAAAUUGUAGGCCAACAAGUUAGACAAGCAUCCCUCUGCAUAGGUUAUACAAUCUACAGAUUUUGCUUAUACAUUAAAUCAGAGCUAAGCACUACUGGCCAUCCAUCAAGGCAAGAAUCACAAAUGAUUGAGGAGAGGUUAAGAUGAAGACAAAGAAAGAAAAUCAAUUUAUUUUUUUUUCGUCACAUAUCACCAUUUUAUUCGUUUCAAAUGUCAUGGUUGUUGUAUUUUAAGAGUCAACACUUUUUUUUAGGGAGUAAAACUUUUUUUAUUUACGUGAAUAAUAUGGGAUCAUUUGGGAGUUGUAAACUUUUUUAUUCAAUUAAAUUAUUUUUAAAAAAUAUGAAAAAUGAAAAUGGGAUCUGCUAAAUUUAAAAAAAAAAGUAAUUUAACUGAAUAAAAAAUUUCGCAACUCUCGAAAUUGCCAUAAUAACAUCGUUUUUACCCCCAAAUCACCAUGGCAAUUAGAGAUUUAGGGUCUCAAGAUACCGUCCCAAAUUAUUCAUGUAAAUGAAAAAAAUUCUAUCACUCAAGUAAAUAAUUUUUUUUCGUAUUAUUGAAAAAAAAACAGUCAAAUUGUUUAGAAACGAUUUUACUAUUUAAGCUACUAAUAAUAAAAAUGCAAGAGUAAAGGUGUUAGUAUCUAUCAAUGUGCUCAUUCAAUUUUUAUUUCCACCGGUAAAAUCCUCUAAAAGAAUUGUAAUACUCUAAUGUUUCUUGAGCCCAUUUAAUAAAAGUUGGGGCUUCCCUCGUAUAAGGUAACUACAUCGUACAUUAAUCUAAAAUAACAUCAUUUUUAUUUUUGGUUACUUUAAAAAGUUUUCUGUCAAUUUAGUCAUUAUUGUUAUAAAAAUUGAAUAAAUUAUUUAUUAAACCAUUAAACUUAUAAAAUUAACAGAUUGUUGACUAGACUUAUAAAAAACAGAGGAAAAAAAAAGUUAUUUUAGUCCCUUUUAAGAAUUAAAAAAUUUUAGUUAACAUUAUUACUAUACCAGCGAACUUUUAAUUUUUUAUGCUUAGGCAAAGGAAAAUAUAUUGAUCUACCGUAACUCCGCCCUUUAUGAUGUCGCCACCAUCCUCGCUUCUUUGUCUUUCACCCGAACAAGAAAAAUUUGUCAUGUUUCAAUGUUUGGGUUAACAGAAAGUUGUGCAAAUUAUUAUUAUUUGAUUUAAUUUAACCGGAAUGCAAUUAUUAUGUUUUUCAGUAUUCAGGUUAACAGAAUGUUUUGUAUUUAAAAAAAAAACCUCAAUACAUAUAGUUUCUGUGUGAAGAGUUAUUAUCUUUUCAUAAAUCAUGAUGCAUUUGAAAAAAAUAGUGCAACUAAACUAUUUAGUUGAAAAACAAAAAAAAUGAGAAAACAUAGGUAAUUAAGAAAUUUACCUCAGUGUCGAGACCAGAGGAGGAACCAGCGGAGAUAGUGGGGAAGACGGCAGCGGAAGCAUAUCGAAGGCCGAAUCUAAAAAUUUUUAUAUUAUUUAAUAUGAGUU